rnacentral:rRNA from 1 species
GACGAACGCUGGCGGCGUGCCUAAUACAUGCAAGUCGAACGCAGUGGGGACGGGGGAGUAACAUGUGGGUAACCUCCCAUAAGAGGGGAGAACACUUGGCAACAGGUGCUAAACCGAUACUGAUGGAUGGACUCGCGGUGCAUUAGCUAGUUGGUGAGGUAACGGCUCAACAGGGCCACGAGGCAGAGCCGACCUGAGAGGUUGAUCGGCCACACUGGGACUGAUGCACGGCCCAGACGCCUACGAGAGGCAGCGGUGGGGAAGGUUGGGCAAUUGACGAAAGUCUGACCGGGCAACUCCGCGUGAGUGAAGAAGGUUUUCGGAUCUUAAAGCUCUGUUGUUAGAGAAGCGGUAUCUAACCAGAAAGCCACGGCUAACUACGUGCCAGCAGCCGCGGUAAUAC